rnacentral:rRNA from 1 species
GACGAACGCUUGCAGCGUGCUUAACACAUGCAAGUCGAACGGAAAGGCCCUGCUUUUGUGGGGUGCUCGAGUGGCGAACGGGUGAGUAACACGUGAGUAACCUGCCCUUGACUUUGGGAUAACUUCAGGAAACUGGGGCUAAUACCGGAUAGGAGCUCCUGCUGCAUGGUGGGGGUUGGAAAGUUUCGGCGGUUGGGGAUGGACUCGCGGCUUAUCAGCUUGUUGGUGGGGUAGUGGCUUACCAAGGCUUUGACGGGUAGCCGGCCUGAGAGGGUGACCGGCCACAUUGGGACUGAGAUACGGCCCAGACUCCUACGGGAGGCAGCAGUGGGGAAUAUUGCACAAUGGGCGGAAGCCUGAUGCAGCAACGCCGCGUGCGGGAUGACGGCCUUCGGGUUGUAAACCGCUUUCGCCUGUGACGAAGCGUGAGUGACGGUAAUGGGUAAAGAAGCACCGGCUAACUACGUGCCAGCAGCCGCGGUGAUACGUAGGGUGCGAGCGUUGUCCGGAUUUAUUGGGCGUAAAGGGCUCGUAGGUGGUUGAUCGCGUCGGAAGUGUAAUCUUGGGGCUUAACCCUGAGCGUGCUUUCGAUACGGGUUGACUUGAGGAAGGUAGGGGAGAAUGGAAUUCCUGGUGGAGCGGUGGAAUGCGCAGAUAUCAGGAGGAACACCAGUGGCGAAGGCGGUUCUCUGGGUCUUUCCUGACGCUGAGGAGCGAAAGCGUGGGGAGCGAACAGGCUUAGAUACCCUGGUAGUCCACGCUGUAAACGGUGGGUACUAGGUGUGGGGUCCAUUCCACGGGUUCCGUGCCGUAGCUAACGCUUUAAGUACCCCGCCUGGGGAGUACGGCCGCAAGGCUAAAACUCAAAGGAAUUGACGGGGCCCCGCACAAGCGGCGGAGCAUGCGGAUUAAUUCGAUGCAACGCGUAGAACCUUACCUGGGUUUGACAUGGAUCGGGAGUGCUCAGAGAUGGGUGUGCCUCUUUUGGGGUCGGUUCACAGGUGGUGCAUGGCUGUCGUCAGCUCGUGUCGUGAGAUGUUGGGUUAAGUCCCGCAACGAGCGCAACCCUUGUUCACUGUUGCCAGCACGUUAUGGUGGGGACUCAGUGGAGACCGCCGGGGUCAACUCGGAGGAAGGUGGGGAUGACGUCAAGUCAUCAUGCCCCUUAUGUCCAGGGCUUCACGCAUGCUACAAUGGCUGGUACAGAGAGUGGCGAGCCUGUGAGGGUGAGCGAAUCUCGGAAAGCCGGUCUCAGUUCGGGUUGGGGUCUGCAACUCGACCUCAUGAAGUCGGAGUCGCUAGUAAUCGCAGAUCAGCAACGCUGCGGUGAAUACGUUCCCGGG